UCCAGCUGUUUUGGGACUACAAUUCCCAUCAUCCCUGACCACUGGUCCUGUUAGCUAGGGAUGAUGGGAGUUGUAGUCCCAAGAUAGCUGGA